rnacentral:rRNA from 1 species
UACGUAGGGGGCAAGCGUUAUCCGGAUUUACUGGGUGUAAAGGGAGCGUAGACGGCGGUGCAAGCCAGAUGUGAAAGCCCGAGGCUCAACCCCGGGACUGCAUUUGGAACUGUGCUGCUAGAGUGUCGGAGAGGCAGGCGGAAUUCCUAGUGUAGCGGUGAAAUGCGUAGAUAUUAGGAGGAACACCAGUGGCGAAGGCGGCCUGCUGGACGAUGACUGACGUUGAGGCUCGAAAGCGUGGGGAGCAAACAGG